ACGCUCGACACCUACGGGGGCAGCGGUGGGGAAUAUUGCACAAUGGGGGAAACCCUGAUGCAGCGACGCCGCGUGAGUGAAGAAGUAUUUCGGUAUGUAAAGCUCUAUCAGCAGGGAAGAAGAUGACGGUACCUGAGUAAGAAGCCCCGGCUAACUACGUGCCAGCAGCCGCGGUAAUCUGAGCGGGCUGGCAAGGC
rnacentral:rRNA from 1 species